UACGUAGGUGGCAAGCGUUGUCCGGAAUCACUGGGCGUAAAGCGCGCGCAGGCGGCGAUCUACGUCUGGGGUGAAAGCCCGGAGCCCAACUCCGGGACUGCCUUGGAUACGGGAUCGCUUGAGGAUUGGAGAGGCAAGGGGAAUUCCACGUGUAGCGGUGAAAUGCGCAGAUAUCAGGAGGAACACCGGUGGCGAAGGCGGAUCUCUGGGCCUGUCCUGACGCUCAGGCGCGAAAGCUAGGGGAGCAAACAGG
rnacentral:rRNA from 1 species